rnacentral:rRNA from 1 species
UACUCCUACGGGAGGCAGCAGUGGGGAAUAUUGCACAAUGGGCGCAAGCCUGAUGCAGCGACGCCGCGUGAGGGAUGAAGGCCUUCGGGUUGUAAACCUCUUUCAGUAGGGACGAAGCGAAAGUGACGGUACCUACAGAAGAAGGACCGGCCAACUACGUGCCAGCAGCCGCGGUAAU